CACCUACGGGAGGCUGCAGUGGGGAAUUUUGGACAAUGGGGGCAACCCUGAUCCAGCCAUGCCGCGUGAGUGAAGAAGGCCUUCGGGUUGUAAAGCUCUUUCGGCCGGGAAGAAAUCGUGCGGGCUAAUACCCUGUAUGGAUGACGGUACCGGAAGAAGAAGCACCGGCUAACUACGUGCCAGCAGCCGCGGUAAUACGUAGGGUGCGAGCGUUAAUCGGAAUUACUGGGCGUAAAGCGUGCGCAGGCGGUUUCGUAAGACAGAUGUGAAAUCCCCGGGCUUAACCUGGGAACUGCGUUUGUGACUGCGAGACUUGAGUGCGGCAGAGGGGGGUGGAAUUCCACGUGUAGCAGUGAAAUGCGUAGAGAUGUGGAGGAACACCGAUGGCGAAGGCAGCCCCCUGGGUCGACACUGACGCUCAUGCACGAAAGCGUGGGGAGCAAACAGGAUUAGAUACCCUGGUAGUCCACGCCCUAAACGAUGCGAACUAGGUGUUGGGGAAGGAGACUUCUUUAGUACCGUAGCUAACGCGUGAAGUCGCCGCC
rnacentral:rRNA from 1 species